rnacentral:rRNA from 1 species
GAACUCUUCGGAGUUAGUGGCGGACGGGUGAGUAACACGUGGGAACGUGCCUUUAGGUUCGGAAUAGCUCCUGGAAACGGGUGGUAAUGCCGAAUGUGCCCUUCGGGGGAAAGAUUUAUCGCCUUUAGAGCGGCCCGCGUCUGAUUAGCUUGUUGGUGAGGUAAUGGCUCACCAAGGCUACGAUCAGUAGCUGGUCUGAGAGGAUGACCAGCCACAUUGGGACUGAGACACGGCCCAAACUCCUACGGGAGGCAGCAGUGGGGAAUCUUGCGCAAUGGGCGAAAGCCUGACGCAGCCAUGCCGCGUGUAUGAUGAAGGUCUUAGGAUUGUAAAAUACUUUCACCGGUGAAGAUAAUGACUGUAGCCGGAGAAGAAGCCCCGGCUAACUUCGUGCCAGCAGCCGCGGUAAUACGAAGGGGGCUAGCGUUGCUCGGAAUUACUGGGCGUAAAGGGAGCGUAGGCGGACAUUUAAGUCAGAGGUGAAAUCCCGGAGCUUAACUUCGGAACUGCCUUUGAUACUGGGUGUCUUGAGUGUGAGAGAGGUAUGUGGAACUCCGAGUGUAGAGGUGAAAUUCGUAGAUAUUCGGAAGAACACCAGUGGCGAAGGCGACAUACUGGCUCAUUACUGACGCUGAGGCUCGAAAGCGUGGGGAGCAAACAGGAUUAGAUACCCUGGUAGUCCACGCCGUAAACGAUGAUUGCUAGUUGUCGGGAAGCUUGCUUCUCGGUGACGCAGCUAACGCAUUAAGCAAUCCGCCUG